GACGAACGCUGGCGGCGUGCUUAACACAUGCAAGUCGAACGGAAAGGCCCUGCUUUUGUGGGGUGCUCGAGUGGCGAAAGGGUGAGUAACACGUGAGUAACCUGCCCUUGACUUUGGGAUAACUUCAGGAAACUGGGGCUAAUACCGGAUAGGAGCUCCUGCUGCAUGGUGGGGGUUGGAAAGUUUCGGCGGUUGGGGAUGGACUCGCGGCUUAUCAGCUUGUUGGUGGGGUAGUGGCUUACCAAGGCUUUGACGGGUAGCCGGCCUGAGAGGGUGACCGGCCACAUUGGGACUGAGAUACGGCCCAGACUCCUGCGGGGGGCAGCAGUGGGGGAUAUUGCACAAUGGGCGGAAGCCUGAUGCAGCGACGCCGCGUGCGGGAUGACGGCCUUCGGGUUGUAAACCGCUUUCGCCUGUGACGAAGCGUGAGUGACGGUAAUGGGUAAAGAAGCACCGGCUAACUACGUG
rnacentral:rRNA from 1 species